UACAGAGGGUGCGAGCGUUAAUCGGAAUUACUGGGCGUAAAGCGCGCGUAGGCGGCUUUGCAAGUCGAUUGUGAAAUCCCCAGGCUUAACCUGGGAACUGCAUUCGAGACUGCAUAGCUAGAGUAUGGGAGAGGGAAGGGGAAUUUCAGGUGUAGCGGUGAAAUGCGUAGAUAUCUGAAGGAACAUCAGUGGCGAAAGCGACUUCCUGGACCAAUACUGACGCUCAUGUGCGAAAGCGUGGGUAGCAAACAGG
rnacentral:rRNA from 1 species